rnacentral:rRNA from 1 species
GACAGAGGUCCCAAGCGUUGUUCGGAUUCACUGGGCGUAAAGGGUGCGUAAGUGGUGAGGUAAGUCGGAUGUGAAAUCUCCGAGCUCAACUCGGAAAUGGCAUUGGAAACUACCUUGCUCGAGGGUUGGAGGGGGGACUGGAAUGCUUGGUGUAGCAGUGAAAUGCGUAGAUAUCAAGCGGAACACCGAAGGCGAAGGCGAGUCCCUGGACAACUCCUGACACUGAGGCACGAAAGCUAGGGGGGCAAAC